CCUACGGGAGGCAGCAGUGAGGAAUAGUGGGCAAUGGACGAGAGUCUGAACCAGCCAAGUAGCGGGAAGGAGGACGGCCCGAUGGGUGGUAAAAGUCUGUUAUAGGGGAAGAAAACAGGGUAUGCAUACCCUCUUGUAUGUACCAUAUGAAUAAGGAUCGGCUAACUCCGUGCCAGCAGCCGCGGUAAUACGGAGGAUCCGAGCGUUAUCCGGAUUUAUUGGGUUUAAAGGGAGCGUAGGUGGAUUGUUAAGUCAGUUGUGAAAGUUUGCGGCUCAACCGUAAAAUUGCAGUUGAAACUGGCAGUCUUGAGUACAGUAGAGGUGGGCGGAAUUCGUGGUGUAGCGGUGAACUGCUUAGAUAUCACGAAGAACUCCGAUUGCGAAGGCAGCUCACUGGACUGCAACUGACACUGAUGCUCGAAAGUGUGGGUAUCAAACAGGAUUCGAUACCCUGGUAGUC
rnacentral:rRNA from 1 species